UCCAUCUUGCUCUCUUGAUGUUUCCUUCUUCUUCUCUCAAUAUAUUGAUUCAAAGCUUUAAACCCUAAUUUGUAUGAGCUGUCACCACUAUGCACUACACACACUAUCAUCACAACCUUAUCUCCUAACUACUAUAACUAUAAAUUAUGCAACUCGAUUUCAAGACCUUCAAAUCGAUCUCAAAUCGGUCUCCUGCAAAUCGAUCUUUGUUUAUUGAUUUCUUUGGAGAUUCCUAACCUACAAAUCGAUAUUAAUUAGGAAGGGAUUGGUCUCGAUUUUUCUUGAAUGUGCAGCUAUAAAGAUAAAGGUUGAUGAUGGAUGCUAUACGUAUGGUGCUUUCCUAGUGAUGUUGGGUAAAAGUUGUCAACCUGUCAAAAUAAUAAUGAUGGGUAUGAUUAGGGCUUCCUUUAUCUUUCAUUUGUAUCAUCAUAUAUACACAUAGAUACACGAAUGAAAAAGAGGGCACGAGAAAUCAAAGAGUUAUAAGAGAAAUUUUAGAUCCAACUAUGAGGGUUCCGAGAGUUCUUCCCGAUUUCAUGUGCUUGGAUUAAAGAAGGCUCGUUUUCGUAUUCUCAUUUUGGGUGAUGUGGCAUCUACGUAGCUUCUACGUUGCAAUACUCAUCACCUACGUGGCAUUGAGAAGUGUUUACAUUAUAAGAAAGGAGGGUGAGAUACGACUGGUUAUUCACUAAAACCCUAAAUCGAUCGAUGACAUCUUCUUCCUUAUCCUUUUCUUCCAAACGACAAGACAAAUUGCAACCGGAUCAUCCAUGUGAUUGCGACUUGCCAUCUCGUGUGAAGACAUCAAGAACCCCAGACAAUACUGGAAGGAAAUUCAGAGUUUGUCAAAACUCACUAGUAAAUCAUUUUUUUUUUUUACUUCUUCUUCAUCCUUCAAUUUAACAUUUUUUAUAAAUUUCUUGAAGAAUGGAAAAAGUCCAAGCUGUAAAUUUUGGCAAUGGUUGGAUGAGGAUGAAGGGAGGAAAGAUGGAAGAAGGCAUUAUAGGAUGAAACUAGAAGAAAGCUGCAAAUCUUACCUUGAAAAUGUGUACCUUGGAGAAUGAAAUCAACAUAUACAGGAUGAAGAUUGAACAAGAGAAGAACAACAAUAAACAAGAACUGGACAAAGUCAAUUAGAAAUUGUUUACUCAUAGACUUGCAUUGAUUUUCUUGUUUCUCUUGUAUGUCAAAAUGUUGUUUUAAAUUAUGUAGUUUAUUAUGAUGUAGUAUGACUAAAUUAUGUAUGCUUUUGUGAUGUUUUGAAUGAAAAAGGUUACAUUGGAUCA